GUAAGAUCUGUGCCUUCCGAAGAGGGUAGAGUCUUCUGGAGGGACAUUACAAAUAAUCAGGCACUCCCAGUGCUGGGAGCUAAGUUCUGUUACAGGGAAGAGAAAGAAACAAUGGGAAUACCAAGGAGGAUAUUUACAGAGGGGGAAGGCUUUGAGCUGAAAUUGAACGGUGAAUAAAGGCUGAGCAGCCAUGAUCCCAGGGAGAAGCAGAUUCUUGGGCAUGUGUGUUAAGAGAUAAAAUGGCAAAGUAUGACUUUCCGGGGUACACGCCACAGGAAAAAGGAAAAAGUCUCAGGUGGGCAUGCGUGUAACUCCCUAAACGCACUGCGCGUGCUCAAUUCCAAAGGCUAAGGAAAGCAUUGCGCAUGCGGGAAACCCACGCUGAGGGAAGAAUCAUGGGAAAGAGUAGAGACGGGGUUCCACCGUGUUAGCCAGGAUGGUCUCGAUUUCCUGACCUCGUCAUCCUCCCGCCUUGGCCUCCCAAAGUGCUGGGAUUACAGGCUUGAGCCACCGCGCCCCGCUCUUUCGUGUUCCAAAGGCUUUUUAAAUAAACUUCCACUCCUGUCCUGGAUUCUGCUUUAUGGCCCUCAGUCGAAUUCUUUCUUCUGAGGAGGCAAGGACUGAAGUUGCUUCUGACCAGUACAGGAGAAAACGAAUACAGCAGGGAUGACUUCCACCAGCUCCACUUUGCAGCUCUGAGGUGUAUUAAAAAUGACCUGGAAGAAGUCAUGCCACGGGCCAGACCUUAACAUUCCUUUCGGCUUACCCCAGGAUUUCAGACAAAGCUUCACUUUCCUAACCAGUCACAAAUCAGAGAAUUUUUGAUUCCACCUAUGACCUGUGAGCUCCUGCUUCAAGAUAUUCCACCUUUUUUAGGCCAAACCAAUGUAUAACCUCCAAGUGUCGAUUUACACUUUCGACUGUAACUUCUGCUUUCCUGAGAUUUACCCCUGCCUUUAAAAACCCUUGCUUGUAAUCCCUCAGGGAGGCCGUGUAUUUAUUAAUCAUGAGCUGCCCAAUUCUCCUUGCUUGGUGCCCUGCAAAUAAACACCCUCUUUUCUCCCACUGCAAAACCUCAGUGUGGAUGUUUGGCUUUACUUCACCCCCAGGAAAGCAGACCCAGGUUUGACUCAGCAACAACAUCUGUUUCUAUUUUUCUCUGUAUAAAUAUUAAAAACCAUAAGUACAUGCUAUCUCCAAUUCCAAUAUAAACCCAUA
rnacentral:lncRNA from 10 species